UACAGAGGUCUCAAGCGUUGUUCGGAUUCAUUGGGCGUAAAGGGCGCGUAGGCGGAUAUUUAAGUUGGGGGUGAAAUCCCGGGGCUCAACCUCGGAAUUGCCUUCAAAACUGGAUAUCUUGAGUUCGGGAGAGGUGAGUGGAACUCCGAGUGUAGAGGUGAAAUUCGUAGAUAUUCGGAAGAACACCAGUGGCGAAGGCGACUCACUGGCCCGAUACUGACGCUGAGGCGCGAAAGCGUGGGGAGCAAACAGG
rnacentral:rRNA from 1 species